rnacentral:rRNA from 14 species
GCCUCAAGCGGGUCGGAACCUCUCAGCCUCGCGGCACAAGCAAAACGCACGGCAAGAGGCCUGUCACGAGAUCGAGGGCCGUCACACGACGGCAAAUCCUCCGCUGCAAGAGGAGAAUGCAAAGAUGUCAAAAAGACAAACCACUAAACUCUGACCUUGUUCUCAGCAAGCGCACCCUCACUCCGCCGUCCUCGGGCACUUCGAUGCCGGCUCUUCCGAAGCUGGGAAUGCGGCAGACCACAA